AAACUAUGGUGGGGACAUUUUCUCAAUAAAUCUUUAAAUCUUUCCCAAGCUUCAUACAAGCUUUCUUGAUCAUGAUGAACAAAAGUCAUGAUCUCAUUUCUCAGCUU
rfam:Jatropha curcas cultivar GZQX0401 scaffold20_70, whole genome shotgun sequence.